AGUGAACGCUGGCGGUAGGCCUAACACAUGCGAGUCGAACGGCAGCACAGUAAGAGCUUGCUCUUACGGGUGGCGAGUGGCGGACGGGUGAGGAAUACAUCGGAAUCUACUUUUUCGUGGGUGAUAACGUAGGGACACUUACGCUAAUACCGCAUACGACCUACGGGUGAAAGCAGGGGAUCUUCGGACCUUGCGCGAUUGAAUGAGCCGAUGUCGGAUUAGCUAGUUGGCGGGGUAAAGGCCCACCAAGGCGACGAUCCGUAGCUGGUCUGAGAGGAUGAUCAGCCACACUGGAACUGAGACACGGUCCAGACUCCUACGGGAGGCAGCAGUGGGGAAUAUUGGACAAUGGGCGAAAGCCUGAUCCAGCCAUACCGCGUGGGUGAAGAAGGCCUUCGGGUUGUAAAGCCCUUUUGUUGGGAAAGAAAAGCAGCAGGUUAAUACCCCGCUGUUCUGACGGUACCCAAAGAAUAAGCACCGGCUAACUUCGUG
rnacentral:rRNA from 1 species